UGGGGAAUAUUGGACAAUGGGCGAAAGCCUGAUCCAGCCAUGCCGCGUGUGUGAAGAAGGUCUUCGGAUUGUAAAGCACUUUAAGUUGGGAGGAAGGGCAGUAAAUUAAUACUUUGCUGUUUUGACGUUACCGACAGAAUAAGCACCGGCUAACUCUGUGCCAGCAGCCGCGGUAAUACAGAGGGUGCAAGCGUUAAUCGGAAUUACUGGGCGUAAAGCGCGCGUAGGUGGUUUGUUAAGUUGGAUGUGAAAUCCCCGGGCUCAACCUGGGAACUGCAUCCAAAACUGGCAAGCUAGAGUAUGGUAGAGGGUGGUGGAAUUUCCUGUGUAGCGGUGAAAUGCGUAGAUAUAGGAAGGAACACCAGUGGCGAAGGCGACCACCUGGACUGAUACUGACACUGAGGUGCGAAAGCGUGGGGAGCAAACAGGAUUAGAUACCCUGUAGUCCCUGAGCGGGCUGGCAAGGCGCAU
rnacentral:rRNA from 1 species